CAAUAGCGUAUAUUAAAGUUGUUGCAGUUAAAAAGCUCGUAGUUGGAUUUCUGGUUGAAGCGACCGGUUGGGCGUUGAUUCGUCUGCACUGGAGUCGGUUUUGGCCAUCCUCUAGGAAAGUGCGUCUGGUAUUAAGUUAUCGGGCGUAUGAUCCUGGUCUUUUACUGUGAAAAAAUUAGAGUGUUUAAAGCAGGCCUUCGCCUUGAAUACAUUAGCAUGGAAUAAUAAGAUAGGACUUUGGUCUAUUUUGUUGGUUUGCAGACCGAAGUAAUGAUUAAUAGGGAUAGUUGGGGGUAUUUAUAUUCCGAUGUCAGAGGUGAAAUUCUUAGAUUUUCGGAAGAUAAACUUAUGCGAAAGCAUUUACCAAGGAUGUUUUCAUUA
rnacentral:rRNA from 1 species